GACGAGGGGCCCUAGCGUUGUUCGGAAUCAUUGGGCGUAAAGCGUAUGUAGGCGGCCAUUUAAGUCAGGUGUGAAAUCCCCGGGCUCAACCCGGGAAGUGCAUUUGAUACUGGAUGGCUUGAGUAUGGGAGAGGAUAGUGGAAUUCCUGGUGUAGUGGUGAAAUACGUAGAUAUCAGGAGGAACACCGGUGGCGAAGGCGGCUAUCUGGCCCUAUACUGACGCUGAGAUACGAAAGCGUGGGGAGCAAACAGG
rnacentral:rRNA from 1 species